UACGUAGGGUGCAAGCGUUGUCCGGAAUUAUUGGGCGUAAAGAGCUCGUAGGCGGUCUGUUGCGUCGGCUGUGAAAACCCGGGGCUCAACCCCGGGCCUGCAGCCGAUACGGGCAGACUAGAGUUCGGCAGGGGAGACUGGAAUUCCUGGUGUAGCGGUGAAAUGCGCAGAUAUCAGGAGGAACACCAAUAGCGAAGGCAGCUCGCUGGGACGUUACUGACGCUGAGGCGCGAAAGCGUGGGUAGCGAACAGG
rnacentral:rRNA from 1 species